UACAGAGGGGGCAAGCGUUGUUCGGAAUUACUGGGCGUAAAGGGCGCGUAGGCGGCCUUCUAAGUCGAACGUGAAAUCCCCGGGCUCAACCCGGGAACUGCGUCCGAUACUGGAAGGCUUGAAUCCGGGAGAGGGAUGUGGAAUUCCAGGUGUAGCGGUGAAAUGCGUAGAUAUCUGGAGGAACACCGGUGGCGAAGGCAGGUCUCUGGGCAUUAACUGACGCUGAGGAGCGGAAAGCAUGGGGAGCGAACAGG
rnacentral:rRNA from 1 species